rnacentral:rRNA from 1 species
UACGUAGGGUGCAAGCGUUGUCCGGAAUUAUUGGGCGUAAAGAGCUCGUAGGCGGUCUGUUGCGUCGGCUGUGAAAACCCGGGGCUCAACUCCGGGCCUGCAGCCGAUACGGGCAGACUAGAGUGUGGUAGGGGAGACGUGGAAUUCCUGGUGUAGCGGUGGAAUGCGCAGAUAUCAGGAGGAACACCGAGUGGCGAAGGCAGGUCUCUGGGCCAUUACUGACACUGGAGAAGCGAAAGCAUGGGGAGCGAACAGG